AACGAACGCUGGCGGCAGGCUUAACACAUGCAAGUCGAACGCCCCGCAAGGGGAGUGGCAGACGGGUGAGUAACGCGUGGGAAUCUACCCAGUUCUACGGAACAACUGAGGGAAACUUCAGCUAAUACCGCAUACGCCCUACGGGGGAAAGAUUUAUCGGAAUUGGAUGAGCCCGCGUUGGAUUAGCUAGUUGGUGAGGUAACGGCUCACCAAGGCGACGAUCCAUAGCUGGUCUGAGAGGAUGAUCAGCCACACUGGGACUGAGACACGGCCCAGACUCCUACGGGAGGCAGCAGUGGGGAAUAUUGGACAAUGGGCGCAAGCCUGAUCCAGCCAUGCCGCGUGAGUGAUGAAGGCCUUAGGGUUGUAAAGCUCUUUCAGUGGGGACGAUAAUGACGGUACCCACAGAAGAAGCCCCGGCUAACUUCGUGCCAGCAGCCGCAGUAAGAC
rnacentral:rRNA from 1 species